rnacentral:rRNA from 1 species
ACUCCUACGGGAGGCAGCAGUGGGGAAUCUUGGACAAUGGGGGCAACCCUGAUCCAGCCAUGCCGCGUGAGCGAUGAAGGCCUUAGGGUUGUAAAGCUCUUUCACCGGUGAAGAUAAUGACGGUAGCCGGAGAAGAAGCCCCGGCUAACUCCGUGCCAGCAGCCGCGGUAAUACGGAGGGGCUAGCGUUGUUCGGAAUUACUGGGCGUAAAGCGCGCGUAGGCGGGCUGUUAAGUCGGGGGUGAAAUCCCGGGGCUCAACCCCGGAACUGCCCUCGAUACUGGCAGCCUAGAGAUCUGGAGAGGCGAGUGGAAUUCCGAGUGUAGAGGUGAAAUUCGUAGAUAUUCGGAGGAACACCAGUGGCGAAGGCGGCUCGCUGGCCAGAUACUGACGCUGAGGUGCGAAAGCGUGGGGGAGCAAACAGGAUUAGAUA